AAAGUUAUGGCUUUCAAUUAUCACUCUGAAAAUCCAGCCCUAUUUUGGGAGUGCUUAUAACUUGUAGUAGUCAUCCACGUUGUGGGAGUCUGACGGGGUUGUUAGAGAACAUCAGCCUUCGUAUUUAGGCGCUGGAGCGUGACAAUUCUAGAUGAAGCAAAUAAUACACUUUUGUAAAGCAUUUCUAUAAAACACUUUCCUUCCUGGUUGACAGGAAAACUUGUGAAGCCUGGAAAGAGAACCAGACCCAUGCUCCAUUCUCCCACUUUCCAGAUUUCCAGCAAGGGAUUUAAUUCAAUAGCAGCAGUUGUGGUAUGGACACUUGUCCAGUGGUGGCUGAGACCACCAGAUUACUGACAAUACAUAAUCACAAAAUAGCCAGGAGCUAGAAAUGGCUAAAUCUUUAUUGUUGUGUGGAAGACCUGAAGUGACUUACUGGUUAAAAACUCUUCAGUCCUUCCCAAUCCUCUCUGAGGGCACUUACUGAGGAAUGGUAAUGGUUUACAGUCUCAGAGUGCUUUUAAAGCACUCAGUGUCAGAAAAAAUGGCAUUAACCCACUCUCCUCUCCCGAUUCUGGACCUGAUUCUCAAUGCUAAUCAAGAGUAAUUUCAGUGAAGGGAAGGGAGUUAUACAAGACCUGUGUAAAAGUGGAAUCAGAUCCAUGUAUCGUACAUUUAAGAUUCCUGGCAAAAUACACUCUAUUUACUUGAGGAAAUUAAAACAUUUCAAAGAGUGGAUGAUUUAAGGGCUAUGUUCUUACUUCCUAGAAAUUAGAACAGUACAUCAGGUAAUCAAUAAGUGUAUAAAACUGUCUAAAAUGCAAGCAUUGCAGAGGUCAGGAAUGGAAAAAAGCGCAGCUGAAAUCACUUUACAUGAUAUACUGGAAAAACAACAUUAUUUUUACCAGCAGCAGUGAGAAGCCAUUGCAAAAGGCAAGAAGCUGAUUUAAUGGUAUGGCAAACAACAUUUGUUCCAUAAAGCCAAUUUUGCCACUUACGUGACAAAUAAAACAACACAAAAUUAGGCUGUUCAGCUAAGCACUUUAGCUCCAGCCUCCCUUGAACUUCGAGAAAUUCAGGGGAACAAGAGCUUGGGUUGGGCCUAUCUGUAUCAGAAACACAGCACUGCAUUUAUACCAUGUUAUCAGUAUUUUUUUCACUUCAAAUCACAAGCACCAGGCAGUGUGGUGUGUAUAUCUCUAUAAUAGAAAUGUCUCAGUUACAUGCAAAACCUCUCCAGUGCCUUCCACAAGAAGAGGCUCCAUUAAGACUAAUGAAAAUGCUGAUUCUGCACAACAGAUGCCACAGAUCCUCCAGGAGAGCUGUAGGAAAGAAAUGGACUCUUAAACAGCGAUUUGCAAGGGAAAAACUGGACUGACUUCUCUGCAUGGGACUUAAGGAUUCUGUAACUGGAAAGAUAAAGAAGUUGGCAAGAACUAUCCACCAUGCUGUUUUCUGACUGCUGCUAGCCCCCGAGAGAUGGUUUCAUUCCGUUAGUAUUUACUGCCCAUAAAUUGCAACCAGCAUGUUGAGAUGCUGUUAGGAAAGAACCAAUAAAAACACAGGAAAUAUGACUGCUCAAAAUCAUAUUAUCUACUGCAGGAAUAUGGAACCA